rnacentral:rRNA from 1 species
AGAGUUUGAUCCUGGCUCAGGACGAACGCUGGCGGCGUGCCUAACACAUGCAAGUCGAACGGGAACAUUCUGGAGCUUGCUUUAGGGUGUUUCAGUGGCGGACGGGUGAGUAACGCGUGAGUAACCUGCCUUUCAGAGGGGGAUAACGUCUGGAAACGGACGCUAAUACCGCAUAACAUUCUUAUUCCGCAUGGGAAAAGGAUCAAAGGAGCAAUCCGCUGAGAGAUGGACUCGCGUCCGAUUAGCCAGUUGGUGAGGUAAAGGCCCACCAAAGCUGCGAUCGGUAGCCGGACUGAGAGGUUGAACGGCCACAUUGGGACUGAGAUACGGCCCAGACUCCUACGGGAGGCAGCAGUGGGGGAUAUUGCACAAUGGAGGAAACUCUGAUGCAGCAACGCCGCGUGAAGGAAGACGGUCUUCGGAUUGUAAACCUUUGUCCUCGGUGACGAUAAUGACGGUAGCUGAGGAGGAAGCUCCGGCUAACUACGUGCCAGCAGCCGCGGUAAUACGUAGGGAGCAAGCGUUGUCCGGAUUUACUGGGUGUAAAGGGUGCGUAGGCGGCAGUGCAAGUCAGGUGUGAAACCCCUCGGCUCAACUGAGGGCGUGCAUUUGAAACUGUGCUGCUUGAGUGGAGUAAAGGCAGGCGGAAUUCCCGGUGUAGCGGUGAAAUGCGUAGAGAUCGGGAAGAACACCAGUGGCGAAGGCGGCCUGCUGGGCUUUAACUGACGCUGAGGCACGAAAGCAUGGGUAGCAAACAGGAUUAGAUACCCUGGUAGUCCAUGCUGUAAACGAUGAUUACUAGGUGUGGGGGGUCUGACCCCUUCCGUGCCGGAGUUAACACAAUAAGUAAUCCACCUGGGGAGUACGGCCGCAAGGCUGAAACUCAAAGGAAUUGACGGGGGCCCGCACAAGCAGUGGAGUAUGUGGUUUAA